rnacentral:rRNA from 1 species
GGGGCAUUUUAUGCUCUGAUAAUAGGUAAUGAUGGGAAUGUAAAACCCUUCCAGAGUAACAAUUGGAGGAUAAAGUCUGGUGCCAGCAGCCGCGGUAAUUCCAGCUCCAAUAGUGUAUAUUAGAGUUGUUGCAGUUAAAAAGCUCGUAGUUGGAUUUCUGCUGUGGUCAUCCGGUACCGCCCGUAUGGGUGCGCACCUGGUUUGGCUCCGGCUUUCUUCCUGUAGCCGUCCGCGCUUAAUUGCGUGUACUGUGUUACGGAACUUUUACUUUGAGAAAAAUAGAGUGUUUCAAGCAGGCUUGUCGCCCUGAAUACUUCAGCAUGGAAUAAUAGGAUAGGACCUUGGUUCUAUUUUGUUGGUUUCUAGGACCAAGGUAAUGAUUAAUAGGGACAGUGGG